rnacentral:rRNA from 1 species
GUAAGGUUAAGCCUCACGGUUCAUUAGUACCGGUUAGCUCAACGCAUCGCUGCGCUUACACACCCGGCCUAUCAACGUCGUCGUCUUCAACGUUCCUUCAGGAGACUUAAAGUCUCAGGGAGAACUCAUCUCGGGGCAAGUUUCGUGCUUAGAUGCUUUCAGCACUUAUCUCUUCCGCAUUUAGCUACCGGGCAGUGCCAUUGGCAUGACAACCCGAACACCAGUGAUGCGUCCACUCCGGUCCUCUCGUACUAGGAGCAGCCCCCCUCAAUUCUCCAGCGCCCACGGCAGAUAGGGACCGAACUGUCUCACGACGUUCUAAACCCAGCUCGCGUACCACUUUAAAUGGCGAACAGCCAUACCCUUGGGACCUACUUCAGCCCCAGGAUGUGAUGAGCCGACAUCGAGGUGCCAAACACCGCCGUCGAUAUGAACUCUUGGGCGGUAUCAGCCUGUUAUCCCCGGAGUACCUUUUAUCCGUUGAGCGAUGGCCCUUCCAUUCAGAACCACCGGAUCACUAUGACCUGCUUUCGCACCUGCUCGCGCCGUCACGCUCGCAGUCAAGCUAGCUUAUGCCAUUGCACUAACCUCCUGAUGUCCGACCAGGAUUAGCUAACCUUCGUGCUCCUCCGUUACGCUUUGGGAGGAGACCGCCCCAGUCAAACUACCCACCAGACACUGUCCGCAACCCCGGUAAGGGGCCAACGUUAGAACAUCAAACAUUAAAGGGUGGUAUUUCAAGGUUGGCUCCACGCAGACUGGCGUCCACGCUUCAAAGCCUCCCACCUAUCCUACACAUCAAGGCUCAAUGUUCAGUGUCAAGCUAUAGUAAAGGUUCACGGGGUCUUUCCGUCUUGCCGCGGGUACACUGCAUCUUCACAGCGAGUUCAAUUUCACUGAGUCUCGGGUGGAGACAGCCUGGCCAUCAUUACGCCAUUCGUGCAGGUCGGAACUUACCCGACAAGGAAUUUCGCUACCUUAGGACCGUUAUAGUUACGGCCGCCGUUUACCGGGGCUUCGAUCAAGAGCUUCUCCUUACGGAUAACCCCAUCAAUUAACCUUCCGGCACCGGGCAGGCGUCACACCGUAUACGUCCACUUUCGUGUUUGCACAGUGCUGUGUUUUUAAUAAACAGUUGCAGCCAGCUGGUAUCUUCGACUGGUCUCAGCUCCAUCCGCAGGGACUUCACCUACACACCAGCGUGCCUUCUCCCGAAGUUACGGCACCAUUUUGCCUAGUUCCUUCACCCGAGUUCUCUCAAGCGCCUUGGUAUUCUCUACCUGACCACCUGUGUCGGUUUGGGGUACGAUUUAAUGUUACCUGAUGCUUAGAGGCUUUUCCUGGAAGCAGGGCAUUUGUUACUUCAGCACCGUAGUGCCUCGUCAUCACACCUCAGCCUUGAUUAUCCGGAUUUGCCUGGACAAUCAGCCUACAUGCUUAAACCGGGACAACCGUCGCCCGGCUAACAUAGCCUUCUCCGUCCCCCCUUCGCAGUAACACCAAGUACAGGAAUAUUAACCUGUUUCCCAUCGACUACGCCUUUCGGCCUCGCCUUAGGGGUCGACUCACCCUGCCCCGAUUAACGUUGGACAGGAACCCUUGGUCUUCCGGCGAGCGGGCUUUUCACCCGCUUUAUCGUUACUUAUGUCAGCAUUCGCACUUCUGAUACCUCCAGCAUGCCUCACAGCACACCUUCGCAGGCUUACAGAACGCUCCCCUACCCAACAACACAUAGUGUCGCUGCCGCAGCUUCGGUGCAUGGUUUAGCCCCGUUACAUCUUCCGCGCAGGCCGACUCGACCAGUGAGCUAUUACGCUUUCUUUAAAUGAUGGCUGCUUCUAAGCCAACAUCCUGGCUGUCUGUGCCUUCCCACAUCGUUUCCCACUUAACCAUGACUUUGGGACCUUAGCUGGCGGUCUGGGUUGUUUCCCUCUUCACGACGGACGUUAGCACCCGCCGUGUGUCUCCCGUGAUAACAUUCUUCGGUAUUCGUAGUUUGCAUCGGGUUGGUAAGUCGGGAUGACCCCCUAGCCGAAACAGUGCUCUACCCCCGAAGAUGAAUUCACGAGGCGCUACCUAAAUAGCUUUCGGGGAGAACCAGCUAUCUCCCGGUUUGAUUGGCCUUUCACCCCCAGCCACAAGUCAUCCGCUAAUUUUUCAACAUUAGUCGGUUCGGUCCUCCAGUUAGUGUUACCCAACCUUCAACCUGCCCAUGGCUAGAUCACCGGGUUUCGGGUCUAUACCCUGCAACUUAACGCCCAGUUAAGACUCGGUUUCCCUGCGGCUCCCCUAUACGGUUAACCUUGCUACAGAAUAUAAGUCGCUGACCCAUUAUACAAAAGGUACGCAGUCACACCCGAAGGUGCUCCCACUGCUUGUACGUACACGGUUUCAGGUUCUUUUUCACUCCCCUCGCCGGGGUUCUUUUCGCCUUUCCCUCACGGUACUGGUUCACUAUCGGUCAGUCAGGAGUAUUUAGCCUUGGAGGAUGGUCCCCCCAUAUUCAGACAGGAUACCACGUGUCCCGCCCUACUCUUCGAGUUCACAGCCUGUGCAUUUUGGUGUACGGGACUAUCACCCUGUACCGUCGGACUUUCCAGACCGUUCCACUAACACACAAGCUGAUUCAGACUCUGGGCUGCUCCCCGUUCGCUCGCCGCUACUGGGGGAAUCUCGGUUGAUUUCUUUUCCUCGGGGUACUUAGAUGUUUCAGUUCCCCCGGUUCGCCUCGUUAACCUAUGUAUUCAGUUAACGAUAGUGCAACGAAUUGCACUGGGUUUCCCCAUUCGGACAUCGCCGGCUGUAACGGUUCAUAUCACCUUACCGACGCUUUUCGCAGAUUAGCACGUCCUUCAUCGCCUCUGACUGCCAGGGCAUCCACCGUGUACGCUUAGUCGCUUAACC